rnacentral:rRNA from 1 species
CAGCCGCCGCGGGAAAACGUAGGGUGCAAGCGUUAAUCGGAAUUACUGGGCGUAAAGCGUGCGCAGGCGGUUUUGUAAGACAGAGGUGAAAUCCCCGGGCUCAACCUGGGAACUGCCUUUGUGACUGCAAGGCUAGAGUACGGCAGAGGGGGAUGGAAUUCCGCGUGUAGCAGUGAAAUGCGUAGAUAUGCGGAGGAACACCGAUGGCGAAGGCAAUCCCCUGGGCCUGUACUGACGCUCAUGCACGAAAGCGUGGGGAGCAAACAGGAUUAGAUACCCGGGUAGUCCCUGUCUCUUAUAC